GCUUACGGCCAUACCAACCUGGCUAUGCCCGAUCUCAUCUGAUCUCGGAAGCUAAGCAGGUUUGGGCCUGGUUAGUACUUGGAUGGGAGACCCGCCUGGGAAUACCGGGGUGCUGUAAGCU